rnacentral:rRNA from 1 species
UACGGGGGGAGCAAGCGUUGUUCGGAUUUACUGGGCGUAAAGGGCGCGUAGGCGGCCAGCCAAGGUCAGUUGUGAAAUCUCCGAGCUUAACUCGGAAAGGUCAACUGAUACUGUGCGGCUAGAGUGCGGAAGGGGCAACUGGAAUUCUUGUUGUAGCGGUGAAAUGCGUAGAUAUCUGGAGGAACACCGGUGGCGAAGGCGGCAUCCUGGACCGGCAUUGACGCUGAGGCGCGAAAGCCAGGGGAGCAAACGGG